AUUGAACGCUGGCGGCAGGCCUAACACAUGCAAGUCGAGCGGGGUUUUCGGACCUAGCGGCGGACGGGUGAGUAAUGCCUAGGAAUCUGCCUGGUAGUGGGGGAUAACGUCCGGAAACGGACGCUAAUACCGCAUACGUCCUACGGGAGAAAGCAGGGGACCUUCGGGCCUUGCGCUAUCAGAUGAGCCUAGGUCGGAUUAGCUAGUUGGUGAGGUAAUGGCUCACCAAGGCGACGAUCCGUAACUGGUCUGAGAGGAUGAUCAGUCACACUGGAACUGAGACACGGUCCAGACGCCUACGGGAGGCAGCAGUGGGGAAUAUUGGACAAUGGGCGAAAGCCUGAUCCAGCCAUGCCGCGUGUGUGAAGAAGGUCUUCGGAUUGUAAAGCACUUUAAGUUGGGAGGAAGGGCAGUAAGUUAAUACCUUGCUGUUUUGACGUUACCGACAGAAUAAGCACCGGCUAACUCUGUGCCAGCCGCCGCCGUAAAAC
rnacentral:rRNA from 1 species